CUGGAAAGUGGACAGUUCCCGGCCUAUCCACGCCGCCACCAUUAGAGGACGCCGCGGGUCCUCCCAGUCCCCAGGAGGCGCCAUGGCCCCCGGAACUGCCAAACUGACAUCUGGUACCUAACAGUCGAGGCCCCGACGCCCCGCGUCCAGGAAGAGGGCAAGGGCGGAGCUGGGAAGCCAUGAGGCCCUAGGGAAUCGCGGAGGGUCACUGGGCCCCUCAAGGAGAGGGCGUCCUCGGCAUCGCAAACCCACACCAGUGGCAUAAGAACUUGCUCCCUCAGGGACAGCCUGUUUCCGGCGCCUUUAAACCAGGAAGUACUGCUGUGUCCAAUCCUGGCCCUCCUUUCGCACUUAGUCUUUGAGUCCUUCCUCUCCUGGCUUGUGCUGGAGCCAAGGAGGCUAAGGCUACCAAUCAGCGCUCAGAAAAGGCGCAUGCGUCUUCGAACGAACACCGCAGACGGUUAACUUUGACCCAAAAGCAACCUCCCCUCUCCCCCUUCUCUCGCUGUCAAGAUGGCGCUCUCCAGGGUGUGCUGGGCUCGGGCUGCUGUGUGGGGUUCAGCAGUCACCCCUGGACAUUUUGUCACCUGGAGGCUGCAACUUGGUCGCUCUGGCCUGGCUUGGAGGGGCCCUCGGUCUUCAAAGCUUCACCUUUCUCCAAAGGCAGAUGUGAAGAACUUGAUGUCUUAUGUGGUGACCAAGACAAAAGCGAUUAAUGGGAAAUACCAUCGUUUCUUGGGUCGUCAUUUCCCCCGCUUCUAUGUCCUGUACACCAUCUUCACGAAAGGAUUUCGGAUGUUAUGGGCUGAUGCCAAAAAGGCUAGAAGAAUAAAGACAAAUAUGUGGAAUCACAAUAUAGAGUUUCAUCAACUUCCAUACCGGGAGAUGGAGCAUUUGAGACAGUUCCGCCAAGACGUCACCAAGUGUCUUUUCCUAGGUAUUAUUUCCAUUCCACUUUUUGUUAACUACCUGGUCUUCUUACUAAUGUACCUGUUUCCCAGACAACUACUGAUGAGGCAUUUCUGGACCCCAAAACAACAAACUGAUUUCUUAAAUAUCUAUCAUGCUUUCCGGAAGGAGUUCCACCCAGAAAUCAUUAAUUAUUUAGAAAAGGUCAUCCCUCUCAUUUCUGAUGCAGGACUCCGGUGGCAUCUGACAGAUCUGUGCACCAAGAUACAGCGUGCCACCCACCCAGCAAUACGUGAUAUCUUGGCUCUGAGAGAGUGUUUCUCUAACCAUCCUCUGGGUAUGAACCAGCUCCAGCCUUUUCACGUGAAAGCCUUGAGCCGAGCCAUGCUUCUCACACCUUACCUGCCUCCUCCCUUGUUAAGCAUCGUUUGAAGACUCAUACAACUGUGAUUCACCAACUGGACCGGGCUUUGGCAAAGCUGGGGAUUGGCCAGCUGACUGCUGAGGAAAUAAAAUCGGUAAGAGCUUGA